UACGGGGGGGGGCAAGCGUUGUUCGGAAUUACUGGGCGUAAAGGGCUCGUAGGUGGCCAACUAAGUCAGACGUGAAAUCCCUCGGCUUAACCGGGGAACUGCGUCUGAUACUGGAUGGCUUGAGUUUGGGAGAGGGAUGCGGAAUUCCAGGUGUAGCGGUGAAAUGCGUAGAUAUCGAGAGGAACACCUGCGGCGAAGGCGGGUUGCUGGGCUGACACUGACGCUGAGGCGCGAAAGCCAGGGGAGCGAACGGGG
rnacentral:rRNA from 1 species